CCUACGGGUGGCAGCAGUGGGGAAUAUUGCACAAUGGGCGCAAGCCUGAUGCAGCCAUGCCGCGUGUAUGAAGAAGGCCUUCGGGUUGUAAAGUACUUUCAGCGGGGAGGAAGGCGAUAAGGUUAAUAACCUUGUCGAUUGACGUUACCCGCAGAAGAAGCACCGGCUAACUCCGUGCCAGCAGCCGCGGUAAUACGGAGGGUGCAAGCGUUAAUCGGAAUUACUGGGCGUAAAGCGCACGCAGGCGGUCUGUCAAGUCGGAUGUGAAAUCCCCGGGCUCAACCUGGGAACUGCAUUCGAAACUGGCAGGCUGGAGUCUUGUAGAGGGGGGUAGAAUUCCAGGUGUAGCGGUGAAAUGCGUAGAGAUCUGGAGGAAUACCGGUGGCGAAGGCGGCCCCCUGGACAAAGACUGACGCUCAGGUGCGAAAGCGUGGGGAGCAAACAGGAUUAGAUACCCCAGUAGUC
rnacentral:rRNA from 1 species